ACUUAUCAGUUUAUAAUUUGCCCAUGGUUCUAGGCUCUAGCACUGAAAACAAGUCAUAAUUCUCAUGAACUAAUAGCAGUCAACCAAAUCUUAGUGCAAACAAAUACUAAACACACUAGCAAGUGCACAAACAAUUAGCAUCAACCAAAUAUUAGUGAGAUCAUUUUUGUUUAUUUCUUUCAUUUUCCUAAUGAUAUUCCAUGUCCUUUAACAAAAUACAUUUGGAAUGUAAAGGUCCCAAUAAAUUCAAGAGUUUUGUUUGGCCUGUGGUCUUUCUUGGGAUUAAUACCAGUAAUUUGUGGCAAGCAAGGAGGCCUAGCAAGGGCAAAAACUCCUGAUGUAUGGAUUGAUGUUAGCCUACUAAUGAAUCCCAUAACAUUGCUCUAGCUCAUUUUGUAUUACAGCAUUAGGAACAAGCUUUUUGCUAGUUUUACCCCCUGUCGAGUUCCAAGUGAUUAAAUUCAGGGAUUCUGGAAGAAAGGAGGACAUGCAAAAUUUUCCCCUUAGGCCUUAGCUUCUCAAUGACAAUGAAACUUUUGGGAUCUCAAAGACAAAGGGGUGCCCUGAGCCAGAUAUUCAAUAGAUGGGAGAACUUUAGUCUGUCAAUGUUGUCUUCUAAUAGAUUUAUUGGGCUUUAACUUAGAUUUGAAUUCGAGACCUCGUAACCCUGAAGACAACUCCAAUACCACUGAGCUAAA
rnacentral:misc_RNA from 1 species